rnacentral:rRNA from 1 species
GUGGGGAAUCUUCCGCAAUGGACGAAAGUCUGACGGAGCAACGCCGCGUGAGUGAAGAAGGUUUUCGGAUCGUAAAGCUCUGUUGUUUGAGACGAAUGUGCAGACUUUGAAUAAGGGUUUGUAAUGACGGUAUUAAACGAGAAAGCCACGGCUAACUACGUGCCAGCAGCCGCGGUAAUACGUAGGUGGCAAGCGUUGUCCGGAAUUAUUGGGCGGAAAGGGAGCGCAGGUGGGAAUGUAAGUCAGUCUUAAAAGUGCGGGGCUCAACCCCGUGAGGGGAUUGAAACUACAUUGCUUGAGUGCAGGAGAGGAAAGUGGAAUUCCUAGUGUAGCGGUGAAAUGCGUAGAGAUUAGGAGGAACACCAGUGGCGAAGGCGACUUUCUGGACUGUAACUGACACUGAGGCUCGAAAGCCAGGGGAGCGAACGGGAUUAGAAACCCUGGUAGUCC